rnacentral:rRNA from 1 species
UACAGAGGGGGCGAGCGUUGUUCGGAAUUACUGGGCGUAAAGGGCGCGUAGGCGGCCUUCUAAGUCGAACGUGAAAUCCCCGGGCUCAACCCCGGGAACUGCGUCCGAUACUGGGAGGCUUGAAUCCGGGAGAGGGAUGUGGAAUUCCAGGUGUAGCGGUGAAAUGCGUAGAUAUCUGGAGGAACACCGGUGGCGAAGGCGGCAUCCUGGACCGGUAUGACGCUGAGGCGGCGAAAGCCAGGGGAGCAAACGGG